GUAAUCUCGAUCCCUCUCAAGGGAACGGAACUGGGUUUUCGCGCCGUUCUUCUCUCGGUGCCGACCUGAAAUAAAAGUCCUUAACCCCUGCAAACCCUCCCUGAAUCAAAGGAGUCAUAGUUGGCCUCUCUUUUGCUGGUCCAUCUUUCGCCGAUGAUAUCUCUGGGAGGUGUUGGCAAUUUUCUUUUCAAACCUCUGAGGUUUGAAGGGAAAAAGAAUUUUUUCAUUA
rnacentral:misc_RNA from 1 species